UACGUAGGGUGCAAGCGUUGUCCGGAAUUAUUGGGCGUAAAGAGCUCGUAGGCGGUCUGUCGCGUCGGCUGUGAAAACCCGGAGCUCAACUCCGGGCCUGCAGUCGAUACGGGCAAACUGGAGUGUUGCAGGGGAGACUGGAAUUCCUGGUGUAGCGGUGAAAUGCGCAGAUAUCAGGAGGAACACCGAUGGCGAAGGCAGGUCUCUGGGCCGAUGACUGACGCUGAGGAGCGAAAGCGUGGGGAGCAAACAGG
rnacentral:rRNA from 1 species